UUCCGGAGAGGGAGCCUGAGAAAUGGCUACCACAUCUAAGGAAGGCAGCAGGCGCGUAAAUUACCCAAUCCUAAUUCAGGGAGGUAGUGACAAGAAAUAACAACUCGGGCCCCACAUGGGGUUGCGAGAUUGCAAUGAGAACAAUUUAAACCACUUAUCGAGUAACAAUUGGAGGGCAAGUCUGGUGCCAGCAGCCGCGGUAAUUCCAGCUCCAAUAGCGUAUAUUAAAGUUGUUGCAGUUAAAAAGCUCGUAGUUGAAUUUCUGGCCGGCGCUGUUCACGGCUCUCGCAGUCGGUUCAGGAGCCUGGUCAUCCGUAUGGGAAGCUAGCACGUCCUUCAGUGGUCGGCUAGUGGAUCAUACACUUUACUUUGAAAAAAUUAGAGUGUUUCAGGCAGGCAAUUGCUUGGAUACUGCAGCAUGGAAUAAUGGAAUAGGACUUUGACCUAUUUGUUGGUUUCUUGAGGUCAAAGUAAUGAUUAAUAGGGACAGUUGGGGGCA
rnacentral:rRNA from 2 species